UGUUUUCCCGAUGCCUGUUUUAUAGUCGCACCGGUAGUGACGUCAGAGGCUGUCGCCGGCCAACUCGUUGGUGUUUUUUCAUUUGUAUGCUUCAGACACGGGUCACGACGAGGUGUUCCCCAUAGCGACCCCUAGAGGACGCAGUUCGAAGUUCCCUUGAAAGGGAACAAUAGUUCUGGAAGUGCUGGUCUGAGCGUGCAGGUCUGAGUGUGCAGUUGGGCCUCCGGGCCUGCAAUGGCUCUCGCAAGAUUUCUGGAUCACUGUAAAGCUACGUACACACAAAGUGCCAGAAUUUUCCUCACGGAUAAUGUAUCCAGUGAUGUCCUGAGACCAGUGCUUGUAAGGUACCUUUGGGUAUCAAGCCCCACUGGUCCAGCAAGGUGAUUUUGGGCGACCCAGCUACCGUGUCACCAAAGAACAACUGAGAUUCCUGCUCUCAUAUGAAUUUACAGCUUCCCAGAUGUCUGAAGUCCUGGAAGUAUCAGUCAGUACAGUUAAACGGAGACAGAGGUAGUAAGAACAACAGUUCCAUACACACACACAUACUUCUUCUUUUUCCUCAUUGCAGGGCAAUUUUUUUUAAAUAGUUAUUUUUUAUAUAUGUUUAGAGAAAUAGGUAGACACUGCUCAUUUUAAGGUGCGUUGGGCAUCUCUAGGUCUUCAAAUUGUUAUUUUUGGUAAAUCUGUUCUCCAAGGAGACCAGAAAGAGGACAUGUCACUUGCUAUGACGUAGCCGGUCUGAUAAAUUUGUAUCCAAGUAAUAGAACAAGUGUUCUUCCUUUGUUUUACUGACAUCUGCCCAGUCAUGUUUGUCUAUGUAUUUUAUUAGUUUGCCAGCAGUAAAUUAACUUCUUCUGAAUAAAGCAGAAGCUAAUUUAUCAUGAUAAAUGCAAUAAUGUAUUUGAUCUGGCUACUGUUAGCAAAUAUUUUUUUUUUAAAUCACUUAUGACACAUGUACAAGCAAGACAUGCUAUUUUGAGCAUGAAAAC
ensembl:lncRNA